UUCUGAGCUGUUCAAUUUGAAAAGAGCAAAGUUUCCAUUACAUAAUGUCUCACACAUUCUCCCAUAGGUAUGCUGACAUGAUAUUCGUGUAUGGUUUCUGUAAUUAUACAAAUCUUAUGCUGUAAUAUCUGUAUUAUAGUUUCUGUAGCGCAUUACGUGCUGUUGAUCAAUACCGACGUCGUUUUUUCAAAUCGAAGAAUUCCUAAUCGUAAAGUUUUUCGGACAGUUUUUGUAAAUGCUCAGCAAACACGAAUGAAUUCUAAACGAGAGGCGGGACCAAAUGUGGAAAAUAAAGAAAAUGUUCUGGAUAUGGCUGAAGAGAAUCCGGAUAUUAGUACGAGGCAGAUUACAAAAGAACUUCGACUAGCAUCACAUGUGGACGUCUGGAAGACACUUAGGAAAAACGGUUUUAAGCCUUUCCAUAUUCAACCAGUUCAACAUCUUAAAUUUUGCGAUUGCAUCCAACAAAAUUGAGGCCUACAAGUACAUUUUAUUUAGCGAUAAAGCUCAUUUUACCCGCAAUGGAAUUAAUAACCGACACAAUAAACAUCGAUGAUCAGAUGAAAAUCCUCAUGCCACGUUUGAACGAAACUUUCAACAUCGAUUCAGUAUUAACGUGUGGUGUGGAUUGCUGAACGACCAGUUGUUUGGUCCUUUUGUAUUAGAUGAGCGUCUUACUGGAGAAGGAUAUUCACACUUUUUGGAAGACCAAUUAAUACACAUGUUGGAUGAUGUUCCGCUAAUUGUUCGACACCGAAUGUAUUUUCGACACGAUUUUAGGAAGUGUGCACAUAACAGGAUCCUACGCAACUAUCGCGAAAAAUUCAAUUUACUCCAGAUCAACACUGGCCAAGGCAAAUCCCCUCAUCUACAAAAAUCCACAAUGGAACAGCAAGGUUUCAUUAACAACUUAGUCCAAAUUAUGCUUUAAUAUAAAUUUUCCUCUCAAUAAUUAAGGUUAUAAAACAAAAAAUUUCAUCUAAUAAUACUCAUACUAAUUUAAAUAUAUUUGCAGUAAAUAUUGUUAGUUAUUAAAAGUUUUUUAUUAAAUUAUACUAUAAUAUUCUAACAUCAAAUUAAAGUCCUAUGCUCAAAAAAAAAACUGUAACAAUAAUUAACAUCUAAUACGGCUUUAAAGAUAUGCUGACUGCACAAUAGGAUUUAUAGGACUUAUCAAAGAUAGAUAUGGAAAUGAUGUUUAAUAGGAUAUUAAAAGAGGAGCAAACGCUACAAAACAACUAGCAAAUUUUAAGAACCACAAGUUGUUUCUAUUUCUAUAUUAAGAAAAAUUGCCUUGUGUUAAUUUUUUAAAUUUUACGAUUAAAGAUUAUAUAUGAUGGCAAGGGCAUGGAAAUUGAUGUUUUUUUAGGCUAAUUAUAGGGUUACAAAGAUUUUUUUCUUUAAAAAUAGACCAGCUGGUGUAAAAAUUGAUUGCUACAUAGCAAAUUGCAAUUUUAUUUUUUAGAACACAAAUUGUUAAUAGAUGAAUACCGAGAGAGAUUAAUUAUUCUCUGCUAAAGUAUAAAAUGAGAUCUGUUAAUGUUUAGACUUUAACGUUAAUGGCACCAAUUUUAAGAAAAAUCCCUUCAAAUGACAAACACUAGAGAAACUGCAUGCUUAGAAAAAAAAAUGACAAAAAGCGAAAACCUUGUUCCCAUGAUUAACGAUUGAAUGCACUUUCGAAAAGGAACUGCGAAGGGCGAAGACGUGGAAAUUCUUUUCUGUCAAGAAAAAUCGUAAAAAACAUCGACUUACAGCGCCUUUGUGGUUUCGAAUAGUGGGCAUUUGUCAACCGGGUCAAUAGACACACCGAGCGCCGGGGGUAAUGUAUUGUGAUUCCCAUUAGGGAACCCUUUGUAAACAUUUGAAAUUCAUUAAGGCCGUUUGGGUCUAUUUGGUAGUUACGCACGGACGCUCGAUUUAAGCUUUUCUGGAAAUCUAUUAUUUGUCGUGUUUUUAUUUUCUUAUAAAGAAUACCGAUGUUCUAAAAGAGAGAAAAAUAUUUGGAAUGAAUGAUGUACCAGUGCCAUUUAUUAUCUAAAUACUUCGCAAAAAAUAAUAUAUUAAAUGAAAAAUUUUAUGAUUUUAACUAAUUUUUAACUACAUUAUAUGCUUUUAACUACAUUUAAUACAGUAAUUUCUCAGGUGAUAAGGAUGUAAUUAAAUACUUUUUUAUCUUUGUUAUCACGUUAUUUCCUCUAUUUUAUUUAUGCAUGUGUCUUAAGUUAAUGAUUCUUGGUGACUUUUGUAGGGUUUUAAAUGAAGACAUCUUUCUCUGAAGCAUUGUCCCCUCCUUAUGUAAGUGAAACAAUAUAACAACAACAACAACAAUAUUACUAUUCAAAAGAAUGAAAUAAUCCUUAUCGUAUAGAGUACCCACAUAUUGUAAACACCAAGAAAUCAGCUGAUUAUCCGUCAUUCCGGAAUUCCACAAGUGACCACCGCACGGCGGUGAGUAAAUCUUUCGGAAUGGUCAGCCGAGUAUAUAAGGAGCUGCGUCGCUGCUCGAAGUCAGUUGCCAGUUCGGUGAAGUAAAGUUUGGAAUAUUGGUGCCAGAUUUAAAUAAUUAUAAAUAAAUACAGUAAAAAUAAAUA